UGCAGUCGAGCGAGGCGGGUAGCAAUACCCAGUCGAGCGGCGAACGGGUGAGUAACACGUGGAUAACCUGCCCUGAGGUGGGGGAUAACCCGGGGAAACUCGGGCUAAUACCGCAUGAUACCGAGAGGUCAAAGGGGGCUCGCAAGGGCUCUCGCCAUAGGAGGGGUCCGCGUCCGAUUAGCUAGUUGGUAGGGUAACGGCCUACCAAGGCGACGAUCGGUAGCCGGCCUGAGAGGGUGAUCGGCCACACUGGAACUGAGACACGGUCCAGACUCCUACGGGAGGCAGCAGUGGGGAAUUUUGCGCAAUGGGCUAACGCCUGACGCAGCAACGCCGCGUGGAGGAUGAAGGUCUUUGGAUUGUAAACUCCUGUCAGCAGGGAAAAAGCGAAUUGGCCUAAUACGCCAGUGAGUUGAUUGUACCUGCAGAGGAAGCCCCGGCUAACUCUGUGCCAGCAGCCGCGGUAAUACAGAGGGGGCAAGCGUUAUUCGGAAUUAUUGGGCGUAAAGGGCGCGUAGGCGGCUUGGCAAGUGGAUGGUGAAAUCCCUCGGCUUAACCGAGGAACUGCCGUCCAAACUGCUUUGCUUGAGGCCGGGAGAGGCGAGUGGAAUUCCCAGUGUAGCGGUGAAAUGCGUAGAUAUUGGGAGGAACACCAGUGGCGAAGGCGGCUCGCUGGACCGGUUCUGACGCUGAGGCGCGAAAGCGUGGGGAGCAAACGGGAUUAGAUACCCCGGUAGUCCACGCUGUAAACGAUGAGUGCUUGGUGUAGCGGGUAUCGACCCCUGCUGUG
rnacentral:rRNA from 1 species